CCUACGGGUGGCAGCAGUGAGGAAUAUUGGUCAAUGGGCGUAAGCCUGAACCAGCCAAGUCGCGUGAGGGAUGAAGGUUCUAUGGAUCGUAAACCUCUUUUAUAAGGGAAUAAAGUGUGGGACGUGUCCUGUUUUGUAUGUACUUUAUGAAUAAGGAUCGGCUAACUCCGUGCCAGCAGCCGCGGUAAUACGGAGGAUCCGAGGGUUAUCCGGGUUUAUUGGGUUUAAAGGGUGGGUAGGGGGCGUUUAAGUCAGCUGUGAAAGUUUGUGGCUCAAACGUAAAAUUGCAGUUGAAACUGGGAGGAUUGAGUAUGUUUGAGGCAGGCGGAAUGCGUGGUGUAGCGGUGAAAUGCUUAGAUAUCACGAAGAACCCCGAUUGCGAAGGCAGCUUACCAAGCCGUGACUGACACUGAUGCACGAAAGCGUGGGGAUCAAACAGGAUUAGAUACCCUGGUAGUC
rnacentral:rRNA from 1 species